UUCCACUCCUAUAUGUCAUCCCUUAUCUUUGUUAUUUUUUUUUAAACAGGUCCCAAAUACUUACCAGCCAUUUCUGCAUUCCCCAAUUUAGCACUGAUGCAUUUGACCUAUUGAGAAUUGGUACACUGAAAUAUAUAAUGGUAGACUGCAUAUUAUGUUUAAAUAUCUUGAUUAUUUAAAAACUUAGCUUUGCAAAUAUGCUUAAGAAAACUACUAUAUUUUUACAUUAAUGCAUUUCUAAAUGUGUAAUAUUUCUACAGAACAACUAAUAGAC
rnacentral:lncRNA from 1 species